GAUGAACGCUGGCGGCGUGCUUAACACAUGCAAGUCGAACGGAAAGGCCCAAGCUUGCUUGGGUACUCGAGUGGCGAACGGGUGAGUAACACGUGGGUGAUCUGCCCUGCACUUCGGGAUAAGCCUGGGAAACUGGGUCUAAUACCGGAUAGGACCACUUCUUGGAUGUUGUGGUGGAAAGUUUUUUCGGUGUGGGAUGAGCUCGCGGCCUAUCAGCUUGUUGGUGGGGUAAUGGCCUACCAAGGCGUCGACGGGUAGCCGGCCUGGGAGGGUGUACGGCCACAUUGGGACUGAGAUACGGCCCAGACUCCUACGGGAGGCAGCAGUGGGGAAUAUUGCACAAUGGGCGCAAGCCUGAUGCAGCGACGCCGCGGGGGGGAUGACGGCCUUCGGGUUGUAAACUCCUUUCGCUAGGGACGAAGCGUUUUGUGACGGUACCUGGAGAAGAAGCACCGGCUAACUACGUG
rnacentral:rRNA from 1 species